ACAUUUCUUUCUGCAACACUCCUCUGGAAGCAUGCGUUCUCCGGGUCGACCUGCGCGACUCGAAAUAUUUGCCUUAAAUAUGGAUGCGAAUCGCCAGCUGUUUAUAUCGACUAAUCGUUAUUAUGGUUCAGGAGGUUGAAGAGAAAUUAGUUUUAAUUGGAUGAGGCGCUAAAAUCAUGCGUGUGCGAGCACCGAGACAAGGCCGCACCGCCGAGGAGAGUCACAUGAGCUGGCGAUGAACUGGGAUUGAGGCGAUUGCACACCCACACGUGGAGCUGCAGAUGGAGGCCUGCUAAGACGCUGUUCACGAUUGUGGAAUGAUCUCUGCAUUAACAACAUAGCAUCCGGCUGUGAAAUGGACCAGAACACUGUAAAUGACGAGGUGACACAACGUGGCUUAUAAUGUCUGCAUUUCCUGAUCAGUUUUUGAUAUGUAAAAAUAUCUGAAUAAAGCAUUGUUUUUAAACCUGUGUUGUGUAAUCUCACUUUACAUGGUUUUGAUAAUGUGGUUUUGUCUAUGCACUCUUUGGAACCUGAGCGGCUUUUCCAUUGGCCGCUCACAAAGGCCAAGAGCAGUGCGAGAUCAUCUCUUGUCAUAACUGGAGCUUCUUGGCAACUUUCCCAAGUCUCUCUUUUUAAGCAAGGCACAAAAUCUAAACACAAUUCAGUAACUUCUUUUCAUGCAACUACACUAAUGUAGGGAGCGAGAAAGUUGAAGGAGCAUCUUAAUGCUGACAUUAUGUCCUGUAGCUAAAUUAAUCUUGAUCAAAUGAAUACAAAUUAGUCUACAUUAAUCACCCAUGAUAAAUAUAACAAUUGACUGUUUACAUGAACAAUAUUCAUACAUUAACCUGAUUAUGAAAAUACUCUGAAUAAAACAUUGACAUGUAAACAGCAUUUUCUGAUCAACUUAACCUAAGUAGUCAUACGAAGUUAUUGAUAAUCAUAUUAAGACGGGAGUUUUCUGACCUUAGUCGCAUUAAGUAGACGUAUGCGUCUUAUAGUUUCAAUGCAUUUUGCUAAUUGACAUGUACAGUAGUUAAAUCUGCUUGAUGUCAUAAUCAGAUCUUUGACGUUUACAGAGAUGAGUGGAAUAUUUUAUCAGCAACUCGUAAACACCAUAAUCAAAGAAAUAUUGCUGUCGAUGUAAAGACUUGAAUUAGUCUUUAUUUUCAAAUAUUUAACUUCUGCAAUUGUUAGGUCAUCACCAGAAGUGUUAUAAAAAUCCCCAAACAAUAAAACAAGAUUUUUUUGUCUUUUUUUGAUGACCCUGUAAAUUGUCAAGAGACUUUGAAAUAUCCAGCUCUUGUAAAUUGUCGCCUUUAUAAGAUCAUAUUAUAUAUUAAAGAUUAAUUUAUUAGGAUCAUACUUGCAGUCCAAAAUGUUAACAUAGUUUUGGUAUGUAAUGAGUUCAUGUUUGUAUACAUUUAUUAUUAAAUAGAUGGAUCCUUAUGAGAA